CCUACGGGAGGCAGCAGUGGGGAAUAUUGGGCAAUGGAGGAAACUCUGACCCAGCAACGCCGCGUGAAUGAUGAAGGUCUUCGGAUUGUAAAGUUCUUUUCUAAGGGAAGAAGAAAGUGACGGUACCUUAGGAAUAAGCCUCGGCUAACUACGUGCCAGCAGCCGCGGUAAUACGUAGGAGGCGAGCGUUAUCCGGAAUGACUGGGCGUAAAGGGGGCGUAGGUGGUUUGGCAAGUUAGUAGCGGAACUCCAAGGCUCAACCUUGGAACUACUACUAGAACUGUUGGACUUGAGUGCAGGAGGGGCAACCGGAAUUCCUGGUGUAGCGGUGGAAUGCGUAGAUAUUAGGAGGAACACCAGUGGCGAAGGCGGGUUGCUAGACUGUAACUGACACUGAGGCACGAAAGCGUGGGGAGCAAACAGGAUUAGAUACCCGAGUAGUC
rnacentral:rRNA from 1 species